rnacentral:rRNA from 1 species
UAGGGAAUCUUCCACAAUGGACGCAAGUCUGAUGGAGCAACGCCGCGUGAGUGAAGAAGGCUUUCGGGUCGUAAAACUCUGUUAUUGAAGAAGAACGUGUGUGACAGUAACUGGUCAUGCAGUGACGGUAUUCAAUCAGAAAGUCACGGCUAACUACGUGCCAGCAGCCGCGGUAAUACGUAGGUGGCAAGCGUUGUCCGGAUUUAUUGGGCGUAAAGCGAGUGCAGGCGGUCUUUUAA